AUUAAGUUUUACGCUUUGUUCGAUCGAAUGAGAAAAUGUACGCGUUGCAAAUUUAUACUGUUAGGGCGCAGCUGGGUAGUCUAAUGUUGUUCCGGUUUCGGUUCAUGUGAAGGUUGACAUCGAUUCGUUCCAAAUGUACACUCUUGGGGCAUAAUAGAACAAUAUAAUUAGCUUUUACACUUUGUUCAAUCGAAUGGAAAAAAAUACUCGUUGCAAAGUUAUACUGUUAGGGCGCAGCUUAGUAGUCUAAUGUUGUUCCGGUUUUGGUUCUUGUGAAGGUUGACAUCGAUUCGUUCUAAAUUUACACUCGCGGGGCAUAAUAGAACAAUAUAAUUAGCUUUUACACUUUGUUCGGUCGAAUGGGAAAAAGUACUCGUUGCAAAGUUAUACUGUUAGGGCGGAACUGAGUAGACUAUUGUUGUUCCGGUUUUGGUUCUUGUGAAGGUUGACAUCGAUUCGUUCCAAAUUUACACUCUUGGGGCAUAAUAGAACAAUAUAAUUAGUUUUUACACUUUGUUCGAUUGAUUAAGAAAAAGUACUAGUUGCAAAGUUAUACUGUUGGGGCGCAACAGAGUAGUCUAUUGUUGUUCCGGUUUUGAUUCUUGCUAAGGUUGACAUCGAUUCGUUCCAAAUUUACACUCUCGGGGCAUAAUAGAACAAUAUAAUUUGGUUUUACUCUUUGUUCGAUAGAAUAAGAAAAAGUAGUCAUUGCAAUGUUAUACUGUUAGGGCGCCACUGAAUAGUCUAAUAUUGUUCCGGUUUUGGUUCUUGUGAACGUUGACAUCGAUUCGUUCGAAAUUACAACUCUCGGGGCAUAAUUGAACAAUAUAAUUAGGUUUUACUCUUUGUUCGAUAGAAUGAGAAAAAGUACUCGUCGCAAAGUUAUACUGCUAGGGCGCAACUGAGUAGUCUAAUGUUGUUCCGAUUUUGGUUCUUGUGAACGUUGACAUCGAUUCGUUCCAAAUUUACACUCUCGGGGCACAAUUGAACAAUAUAAUUAGGUUUUACUCUUUGUUCGAUAAAAAGAGAAAAAGUACUCGUUGCAAAGUUAUACUGUUAGGGCGCAACAGAGUAGUCUAAUGUUGUUCCGGUUUUCGUUCUUGUGAACGGUGACAUCGAUUCGUUCCAAAUUUACACUCUCGGGNCUGGGAACUUGUUGUACACAAUCUCGUCGUUGUGCCUUGGGCGGACAGGGGAGGUACUGUCCGUACGGCGGUCCGCCGCCGUGCCCGAACCGAACCAAAUUGGUAUCGGCCUCGGGGCGGGGGCGUGACAGAAAAAUUACUAGUUGCAAAGUUAUACUGUUGGGGCGCAACAGAGUAGUCUAUUGUUGUUCCGGUUUUGGUUAUUGUUAAGGUUGACAUCGAUUCGUUUCAAAUUUACACUCUCGAGGCAUAAUAGAACAAUAUAAUUAGGUUUUACUCUUUGUUCGAUAGAAUGAGAAAAAGUACUCAUUGCAAAGUUAUACUGUUAGGGCGCAACCGAAUAGUCUAAUGUUGUUCCGGUUUUGGUUCUUGUGAACGCUGACAUCAAUUGGUUCGAAAUUACAACUCUCGGGGCAUAAUUGAACAAUAUAAAUUAGGUUUUACUCUUUGUUCGAUAGAAUGAGAAAAAGAACUCGUCGCAAAGUUAUACUGCUAGGGGGCAACUGAGUAGUCUAAUAUUGUUCCGGUUUUGGUUCUUGUGAACGUUGACAUCGAUUCGUUCCAAAUUUACACUCUCGGGGCAUAAUAGAACAAUACAAUUAAGUUUUACUCUUUGUUCGAUCGAAUGAGAAAAAGUACUCGUUGCAAAUUUAUAAUAUUAGGGCGCAGCUGAGUAGUCUAAUGUUGUUCCGGUUUUGGUUCUUGUGAAGGUUGACAUCGAUUCGUUCCAAAUUUACACUCUUGGGGCAUAAUAGAACAAUAUAAUUAGCUUUUACACUUUGUUCGAUCGAAUGGGAAAAAAGUACUCGUUACAAAGUUAUACUGUUAGGGCGCAACUGAGUAGUCUAUUGUUAUUCCAGUUUUGGUUCUUGUGAAGGUUGACAUCGAUUCGUUCCAAAUUUACACUCUCGGGGCAUAAUAGAACAAUAAAAUUAGCUUUUACACUUUGUUCGAUUGAAUAAGAAAAAGUACUAGUUGCAAAGUUAUAUUGUUGGGGUGCAACAGAGUAGUCUAUUGUUUUUCCGAUUUUGGUUCUGGUGAAGGUUGAUAUCGAUUCGUUCCAAAUUUACACUCUCGGGGCAUAAUGAAUAAAAUAAAUAGCUUUUACACUUUGUUCGAUUGAAUGAGAAAAAGUACUAGUUGCAAAGUUAUACUGUUGGGGCGCAACAGAGUAGUUUACUGUUGUUCCGAUUUUGGUUCUUGUUAAGGUUGACAUCGAUUCAUUCCAAAUUUACACUCUCGGGGCAUAAUAGAACAAUACAAUUAAGUUUUACUCUUUGUUCGAUCGAAUGAGAAAAAGUACUCGUUGCAAAAUUAUGCUGUUAGGGCGCAACUGAGUAGUCUAGUGUUGUUCCGAUUUUGGUUCUUGUGAAG
rnacentral:lncRNA from 1 species